UUGACGGGGGAGCACCACGACGGGUGGAGCUUGCGGUUUAAUUGGAUUCAACGCCGGAAAUCUUACCGGGACCGACAGCAAUAUGAAGGCCAGGCUGAAGACCUUGCCGGAUUAGCUGAGAGGUGGUGCAUGGCCGUCGUCAGUUCGUACUGUGAAGCAUCCUGUUAAGUCAGGCAACGAGCGAGACCCACGCCCACAGUUGCCAGCGUACUCUCUGGAGUGACGGGUACACUGUGGGACCGCCGCUGCUAAAGCGGAGGAAGGAAUGGGCAACGGUAGGUCAGUAUGCCCCGAAUAUCCCGGGCUACACGCGAGCUACAAUGGUUGGUACAAUGGGUAUCUACCCCGAAAGGGGACGGGAAUCUCCUAAAACCAAUCUUAGUUCGGAUUGAGGACUGCAACUCGCCCUCAUGAAGCUGGAAUCCGUAGUAAUCGCGUUUCAACAGAACGCGGUGAAUACGUCCCUGCUCCUU
rnacentral:rRNA from 1 species